rnacentral:rRNA from 1 species
CAAGUCGAACGAUUAAAGCUCUCUUCGGAGAGUGCAUAGAGUGGCGCACGGGUGAGUAACACGUAAGUAAUCUACCUUCGAGUGGGGAAUAACAGUCGGAAACGACUGCUAAUACCGCAUAAUGCAGCGGCAUCGCGAGAUGACAGUUGUUAAAGAUUUAUCGCUUGAAGAGGAGCUUGCGGCAGAUUAGCUAGUUGGUAAGGUAAUGGCUUACCAAGGCUACGAUCUGUAACCGGUCUAAGAGGACGGUCGGUCACACUGACACUGAAUAACGGGUCAGACUCCUACGGGAGGCAGCAGUCGGGAAUUUUGGGCAAUGGGCGAAAGCCUGACCCAGCAACGCCGCGUGAAGGAUGAAGUAUCUCGGUAUGUAAACUUCGAAAGAAUAGGAAGAAUAAAUGACGGUACUAUUUAUAAGGUCCGGCUAACUACGUGCCAGCAGCCGCGGUAAUACGUAGGGACCAAGCGUUGUUCGGAUUUACUGGGCGUAAAGGGCGCGUGGGCGGCAAUUCAAGUCAUCUGUGAAAUCUCCGGGCUUAACUCGGAACGGUCAGAUGAUACUGCUUUGCUAGAGUGCGGAAGGGGCAAUCGGAAUUCUUGGUGUAGCGGUGAAAUGCGUAGAUAUCAAGAGGAACACCUGAGGUGAAGACGGGUUGCUGGGCCGACACUGACGCUGAUGCGCGAAAGCCAGGGGAGCAAACGGGAUUAGAUACCCCGGUAGUCCUGGCCCUAAACGAUGAAUACUUGGUGUCUGGAGUCUU